UAAGGCAGAUUUCUCCAAAGGAGAAUGAAGAACGGCAAACAGAAUUAGCAAUACUUUUACUUAAAAUGAAAUAACUUCAACACCUCAAACACAAAGUUUUGUUUGGCAUUAUUUGGACUAAAUAUGAUACCAUUUAAGAAACAUUCAUUGAUUUUUACUAUUUUCCAUUGAAAAGCAUAAAAUAUUACCGGCACCACAAAUAUAAUAGUAUUAUCAUUCCACUAUAACCUUCAAGGAAUAUUUACACCACUGUCAUCAUUGUGAAUAAUGUCUCCUGUUGGUCUUAGGGGAUGGCAAAGGAUUUAAGGGAAAUAGAGGAUUUAAUGACUUCAUGAUGGUUUUGGCACAGGAUGUAGACACAUUCAACCUUAACAGUGCAGAAGCUAAAAUACAAAAGAUGAAAACCUCGGAGUCAGUGAUGGGAGCAACUAAGUUGGGAUAUUCUGACUGGAAAAUUGUCCUAUUUGACAACAAUUAAAAACAUCAGUGACUAUGCCAGAAUAACUAGAGCUGAAUUAUGUCAGAGCUGAGAUCUAAACUCCAUUCCACUGCAGAGAUGGUCUCGUUUGUACAAAGCGACUAUAAGGCACACCUUGAGAAGCAAGGAAGAAGGAUAACAGAUUAGUGACCUCCUGGACUAUGAAAUCACUUUAUACUAUUCUCAAGAGUUUAUCAAUGCAAUAAAAGAAGUAGUAGAAAGAAGAGGAGAUGAUGACAACAACGAAGUCGACAACUAUGACGAGAACAAUGAAGGGAAGAGAAGGGAAAGGAAAGAAAAAGGAAAAGGAAAGGAAGGGAAGGGGAGGGAGGAAUAGAGGGGAGUUAAAGGGGUGGAGAUUAGGAGGGACAGGAAAAGGCAGAAAGAAAAGAGGAAGGAAAAAUGAGGGAGAGAAGGGGGCUGAGGGAGAAAGAAGAGGAGAAGGUGAUGGAGAAAAGAAAGAGCAAGUGAGAAAGAGCUGGUUUGUUUUCCUGUAAGUCCUUAGCUACUCUCUCCCUGUCUGGACACAGAAAAGGAGAGGGAAAAUGAGAGACAGAGAUAUAUAAAGGGGAGACAUUGAAAACUAAAUAGAGUUAGAGAAAGAGAGAGACUAUCAUAUUUAACUAUGUUUAACUAUCAGUAAAAGGAUAGCAUAACAAAUGUAAAGUAAUAGUUGCUGAAUUGUUUCUGACAAUUCCAUUUGAAUUAACUUAGAGAUAAAUUCAGAAUAAAAAAGAC